CCAUUCUGAUUUUGCUUGUUUUGAUUUUAGCCCAGCAUCAUCAAAUUGCUCCGCUGGAACAGCCACUGCCUCGAUUGGCAUUUUUUGGAUAUUGCAUGUAGGUUUCAUCAAUCUUUGGUAUACUUUCUGCGUUAUUUUGAAUCAUCAAUUACUUGAGGAGAAAGACUGUCAAAGUGUCAGGUAUUCUAUGGGACUGCAUUUCAUGUGUCGUGAAACUUCAGAUUCUAGAGUUUUGAUAUCAAAAGGACUUAUAUAAUGAAGAGACAUCAUACCAGGAAAGGGUGGGGCAAGUUGAAUAUCAUGAGAAAAGUCAAAGUGAUCAAGCUGUGAGUCUUUGACUAAAAUUUGCAGACUAUGGCGGGAAUGUGUAAUCAAGAAGUAGGAGAUACUUGUAGUGCAGA